GCUUUUGGUUCAGUGGUAGAAUGCUCGCCUGCCACGCGGGCGCCCCCCGCCCCAUAUUAUAGUGGCGGGCGCCCGGGUUCGAUUCCCGGCAGAUGCA